rnacentral:rRNA from 1 species
GACGAACGCUGGCGGCGUGCCUAAUACAUGCAAGUUGAGCGAUGAAGAUUGGUGCUUGCCCCAAUUUGAAGAGCAGCGAACGGGUGAGUAACGCGUGGGGAAUCUGCCUUUGAGCGGGGGACAACAUUUGGAAACGAAUGCUAAUACCGCAUAACAACUUUAAACAUAAGUUUUAAGUUUGAAAGAUGCAAUUGCAUCACUCAAAGAUGAUCCCGCGUUGUAUUAGCUAGUUGGUGAGGUAAAGGCUCACCAAGGCGAUGAUACAUAGCAGACCUGAGAGGGUGAUCGGCCACAUUGGGACUGAGACACGGCCCAAACUCCUACGGGAGGCAGCAGUAGGGAAUCUUCGGCAAUGGACGAAAGUCUGACCGAGCAACGCCGCGUGAGUGAAGAAGGUUUUCGGAUCGUAAAACUCUGUUGGUAGAGAAGAACGUUGGUGAGAGUGGAAAGCUCAUCAAGUGACGGUAACUACCCAGAAAGGGACGGCUAACUACGUG